CCGCACAGUGGUCCAUCUCAUAGGUCAUAGGGCUGAAAUGUCGAUGGUUGAAUUAUGACGUCAUUUAUCACUACAGGGUAGACAAAUAACCCUUCUACCCCCAGAUAUAAAAAAAAUUACAAUAACAUGAAAGGAUCAUUUCAUUUUGUGCAACCGAAGUGAUAACAUUCCAAUAGUGCUAAGUAGCGUUGUCUUUGUCGGCAAAAUUUCUACUGUUUUAAAGUGUUUUUUUCUCGGAAAUUGAUUGUUUGUGAUAAUUUUGUGCCAUGAAUGUUCAAAUAGAAGGAUCCAUCAUCAAGUGUUCUUUUCCUCGAAUGCUUGUCCUAGACACGUGGUUGAAUGCGACAAGUAAAGAAAAUGAGGAAGAUAGAUCUCGUGAAGUGUUUGGAAUGCUAGCAAAUCAUCACACUAUUAAUGCUACUACUGCUAAUGCUACUAAACAUCAAUACAUUUUAUUAAAAAACUUGAUUAAUUCUAAAAUACCAAAUGGUUUUCCAUGUUAUCAAAGAGUGUUGGAAGCCAAAAAACGUUGCUACCCAACUGAUAUUCGCGUAACGGAAUCAUCUGCUGAGAUUAAUUUGCAAUCGUUGUUAGAUCAUACAUCAAGUCGAACAUUCCCGAGAAGUAACUAAUAUGGAUCUUUUGAACAGACUUCUUCUUAAUUCAGACCCACUUAUUUCUAGCAUAAGAAAGUUACCUUGUAAGAAGAAGUCUGUAUUAGCAAAAUAAGUGUUGAAUUUAUUAUGUACUUAAACUAUAUUGGCAUAAAAGAAACCUGUAAAUAUUGUGAAUUAUAAUGUUUUCCUAUUAUG